CCGAGCGGCCGCCCGAGUCGGCGGGCGGCAGCCAGCGCAGCCUCAGCGCCAGCGGCGAGCGGCUCAGGCUGUACUGCAGCAUCUACUGUGAGUCAGGUGCUCUGGGGCUAGGAUCUAGAGACAGAGUGAAUGAAACAGACCAGGAUCCUACUGUCCACUGGUGCAGACACCUUCCUCCCAUGUCACAAGGAGAAGAGAGGCUGUCAGUUGACAUACUUGCUGGACAGCAAGAAGGAGGAGCGGCUGGGAAGAGUUGGGAUCCUUUGCCGGUAAAAAGAAAGGUCAUCAGGAGGGGCUGAGGCUCAGACACCACAGGACACCGAAGCCCGCUGAGAAAGCAGAAGGAGGUGUGGCAUCCAGCUGUUCUUAGAUGCAGAUCCGGAAAGUACAUUCAUCCUGGCUAGACAGAGAAGGUCAUCUCCUCCAUGGAGAAGACUAAGAUUGCUUCAGAGAAUCAGGGCCAAUCCCUCUCCUCAGAAAAGAGGACAAGGAAGGAGCAAAGAACAGUGGCAAGCCCUACUGCUCAAAGGGACAUUUCCAAUUUGUCUCUUCCCUCUUCCAGUCUAUCUCCUACUCCCCAGCUUAAGAAAAAUAAACAUCCCCAAGGUGAA